GGAAGCGCCUAGGAUCCGGUGAUCCUCCCGGUCUUCAAAACCGGCGGUCGUCCUUUUGGGCAACGGUGUGUUCGACUCACACGCGCUUCCGCCA
rnacentral:tRNA from 1 species